rnacentral:rRNA from 1 species
GACGAACGCUGGCGGCGUGCCUAAUACAUGCAAGUAGAACGCUGAAGGAGGAGCUUGCUUCUCUGGAUGAGUUGCGAACGGGUGAGUAACGCGUAGGUAACCUGCCUGGUAGCGGGGGAUAACUAUUGGAAACGAUAGCUAAUACCGCAUAAUAGUAGAUGUUGCAUGACAUUUACUUAAAAGGUGCAAUUGCAUCACUACCAGAUGGACCUGCCUUGUAUUAGCUAGUUGGUGGGGUAACGGCUCACCAAGGCGACGAUACAUAGCCGACCUGAGAGGGUGAUCGGCCACACUGGGACUGAGACACGGCCCAGACUCCUACGGGAGGCAGCAGUAGGGAAUCUUCGGCAAUGGACGAAAGUCUGACCGAGCAACGCCGCGUGAGUGAAGAAGGUUUUCGGAUCGUAAAGCUCUGUUGUAAGAGAAGAACGAGUGUGAGAGUGGAAAGUUCACACUGUGACGGUAUCUUACCAGAAAGGGACGGCUAACUACGUG